rnacentral:rRNA from 1 species
UACGUAGGGUCCGAGCGUUGUCCGGAAUUACUGGGCGUAAAGAGCUCGUAGGUGGUUUGUCGCGUUGUUCGUGAAAAACUCACAGCUCAACUGUGGGCGUGCGGUCGAUACGGGCAUCACUGGAGUUCGGCAGGGGAGACUGGAAUUCCUGGUGUAGCGGUGAAAAUGCGCAGAUAUCAGGAGGAACACCGGUGGCGAAGGCGGGGUCUCUGGGCCGAUACUGACGCUGAGGAGCGAAAAGCGUGGGGGAGCGAACAGG